AGUGAACGCUGGCGGUAGGCCUAACACAUGCAAGUCGAACGGCAGCACAGUAAGAGCUUGCUCUUACGGGUGGCGAGUGGCGGACGGGUGAGGAAUACAUCGGAAUCUACUUUUUCGUGGGGGAUAACGUAGGGAAACUUACACUAAUACCGCAUACGACCUACGGGUGAAAGCAGGGGAUCUUCGGACCUUGCGCGAUUGAAUGAGCCGAUGUCGGAUUAGCUAGUUGGCGGGGUAAGGGCCCACCAAGGCGACGAUCCGUAGCUGGUCUGAGAGGAUGAUCAGCCACACUGGAACUGAGACACGGUCCAGACUCCUACGGGAGGCAGCAGUGGGGAAUAUUGGACAAUGGGCGCAAGCCUGAUCCAGCCAUACCGCGUGGGUGAAGAAGGCCUUCGGGUUGUAAAGCCCUUUUGUUGGGAAAGAAAAGCAGCAGGUUAAUACCCCGCUGUUCUGACGGUACCCAAAGAAUAAGCACCGGCUAACUUCGUG
rnacentral:rRNA from 1 species